rnacentral:rRNA from 1 species
GACGAACGCUGGCGGCGUGCUUAACACAUGCAAGUCGAACGGAAAGGCCCCUUUCGGGGUACUCGAGUGGCGCACGGGUGCGUAACACGUGCGUAACCUGCCCUUGACUUCGGGAUAACUUCAGGAAACUGGGGCUAAUACCGGAUAGGAAUCCUUGCUGCAUGGUGGGGGUUGGAAAGCUUCGGCGGUUUUUGAUGGACUCGCGGCUUAUCAGCUUGUUGGUGGGGUAGUGGCUUACCAAGGCUUUGACGGGUAGCCGGCCUGCGAGGGCGACCGGUCACAUUGGGACUGAGAGAAGGCCCAGACACCUACGGGAGGCAGCAGUGGGGAAUAUUGCACAAUGGGCGGAAGCCGGAUGCAGCAACGCCGCGUGCGGGAUGACGGCCUUAGGGUUGUAAACCGCUUUCAGCAGGGGCGAAGCUUGUGGUGACGGUACCUGAAGAAGAAGCACCGGCUAACUACGUG